GAUAUUUUUGCACUUCUUUGGAGCACAAGUAAAGGAAUCCUUGAUUGUUACUUGAAAUCUUUGAUUUCCAAAUGCUACCGAGUAUCAUCAAGGCUUAUCAACCCAUUCAUUUUCUGCAGCCAUUCUUCCCGAGCCACGACCGCCCAUUUUUCCAAAUGGACUCAUCACUGACAAGCCCUUGAAGCUGCUGCUUCCCUCGCUGCUGAAGUUUCGCGACUUCCUUGCCUUUCUCAUCUUUGGUGAACCAAUCUCUCCAAUGUCUUGAUCAGCAUCAUCACAAUCCUUGACUUUAGCGACCACUAGGCGUACAAUGGCGCUUCGACAGAAUGGGCAAACUGGCGGGUUUAGGCAUGCAAUUGUUGGGUUUGGUUUGUUGUGGCAGG
rnacentral:misc_RNA from 1 species